rnacentral:rRNA from 1 species
CCCAGACUCCUACGGGAGGCAGCAGUGGGGAAUAUUGGUCAAUGGCCGGAAGGCUGAACCAGCCAAGCCGCGUGAGGGAGGAAGGCGCAGAGCGUCGCAGACCUCUUUUGCCGGGGAGCAAGGGCCGGGACGCGUCCCGGCCCGGAGAGUACCCGGAGAAAAAGCAUCGGCUAACUCCGUGCCAGCAGCCGCGGUAAUACGGAGGAUGCGAGCGUUAUCCGGAUUUACUGGGUGUAAAGGGAGCGUAGACGGCCAUUCAAGCCAGAUGUGAAAGCCCGGGGCUCAACCCCGGGACUGCAUUUGGAACUGUGGGGCUAGAGUGUCGGAGAGGCAGGCGGAAUUCCUAGUGUAGCGGUGAAAUGCGUAGAUAUUAGGAGGAACACCAGUGGCGAAGGCGGCCUGCUGGACGAUGACUGACGUUGAGGCUCGAAAGCGUGGGGAGCAAACAGGAUUAGAUACCCUCGUAACG